UGUUUUCCUAAUUUUUCUCUCCCUUUCUCUUCCACUGCUUGGCUCUCAGUUAAAGCAUAGCGACAACUACUACGGGCUCACUUAUGUCAGCAAAUUAGAUGGACCAUAUGAUGCCAAACAAAUAAUGUAGAAUGUUGCAAAUUCAUCCCUUGGCUAUGCUCUAUAAUGGCGGGCUCCAAUAUUUUUGUCAAACUGGAAAAGAAGGUUUAUGACUGCAAAGCUUUAACAGUCGAAUUUCAAAAGGGUGCUUCCUUUUUUAUCUUGUAAAUGAGGUUUUUCAUGAAAGCCAAAGAAUGUAUAAUUUUGCAACUACUCAAUAUUACAGUAGAUAUUUCAUAAUCUAUUGGAUAUAGAGUUGAGUUUUGUUCCUCAUUCAUGUAGAUAUUGUGAAGUAUUAAACCAUGAAAUGAUCUCGAUAUUGAAAAUUUUCAGCAAUAUUGUAACUGUGUGAAUAUUACAAAUAAUGAUAUUGAAUAUACGCCCGUGCUGUGCACGGGCACGGGCCAUCUAGUACUA